GACACACCCCGUCCCGAAGGAGGGCGUGCUGGCCGUCACGUGAGAGUGACGUAACCAUUUACACAGUUCGGAAGCUUUAAAGAAUACAAUUACUAAGAUAACACACCCGAGGGUGAGUCAUACUUUUGUGAAUUCUGUUAGAACACCGUUGGAUUCCUCGUGGCCACCAAAGCUCUGCCAUCUAGGACCUGGAGGGGCGCAAAACAAAAUUGAGUGGGUCAGUAAAACAAAGUUUUUCGAAAACAUUUCAUUUAAAACAUUUCUAACCCCUCACCGUAAAACCUGUAUACUUUCCCAGAAAAAAAAAAUAUAUAUAUAAAACCAUAUAUGAAAUCUCAAAACUUAAAUCCCAAAUCUUUAACAUUUUUCAAGAAAAAUAUGCCAUGCCAUAAAUCAAAAAUAUAAAUCAGGUGAAAUAAGGAAUCAAUCGGAGACCCUGCAGUUGGUCCUAUACGAUUAAUUCAAUAGCUCAAUAUCCCACUAAGCCGGAGUCACCACAGUGACCUAUACGGCCCUACUCUGCACAUCACUCGGAACUACGUAAGGUAGUCUAUACGAUGAAAGGUGUAAAAAUACGCUCUAGUGCUUCUCUCUCAUCAAUCAUCAGCGCGCAUAAUAACUAAGGUCACCCACUAGUCGGAAUCACGCCUAGUGAUCUGUACGACUAGCAUGUCGGAACCCUCACAUGGUCUGUACGACAUCCACCUACUUGGAUCCAAGGCGAGCGUGCGGUGUGGUGAAUAAUAUAAGCACUAACACCUAGGGUGCAAGUUAUGAGCUCAAAACAUCUCAACAACAAACAAUUCAAUGAAUAAAUGAACUCACCUGACUUACCUGUGCCUCCACAGCACCAUGCAACAUGUAUGCAUCAUAUAUCAAUUCAUUCUUUUCAUAAACUUCUAUGCUUGGCAUUUCAAUUCAUACUUUUCAUAAACUUCUAUGCAUGGCAUUUAAAAACAUUUUCUCAUAUAAAUGCAUUUCUGGGAAAACAAUAGUAUAUAGGUAAUACGAAAACAAAACUGCCCACUCACCUGGAGUUCGCCCAACAACUUCCUAGCACCGUACAUCAAGGCGUCAUGAAGAUUAGCGCCUAGAACAAUAAUUAAAUCCAACCUCAGAAAUCAUGCCGAUAGAAUACAUAACUUAUAUAAGACACGUCUCUACGUAGUUCGAUCCGGAUGAUCUGCAACUCAGAUUUCAAAUCCGUAACUUCCAGAGGUCCACAAUAUACCUCUAGGACAACAUCCUAAUUUCAUUACCAUCCAACGGUCGGAUCUCCGUCAAUUUCCAAAACUAAGUGACGGUUAACAUUCUAUUUUAUGAACUUACAACUUCAAUUCCGGAAGAUCCGUAAAUUGGAUUCCCAAUCCGUAAGUUCCUAUAAUCCUCAAAUAUUACGUAUUACAACGUAUCAAAGUUUGAUGACGAUCCAACGGUCGGAUCGUCAAUUCACAUUUUCACCUAACCAUGAAUCGUAACCAACUUAGGUUCAAUUAUUCAAUUUACGUCCAUCAAUUAUCAAAACUGAACCUAGAACCUUAAUCACAUGCUAAUAAUGACAUUGGCGGGCCAUUGGCCACGCACCGCCGCGCGGGCCGCCGCGGGUGGCGGUUGGCCGCCCCCGGCUCGCCGGAAAAUUCAACUAUUUCCAAAAAUUACCAAAAUUUGCAGAUUUGAAGAUCUCAAUGAGUAGAACAACUUUCAUACCUGUGGACAAGGCCAAUUGGGCCUGGAAGUGCUUCAAUUUCACCAAAACCGUGAAGAACCCUAGAAUUUGGUGUUUCCAAUUCGACCUUCAAACUUGUUCCAACGCCUCUACUACCUCUUGGGCUUUGUUCUAGGUCCUAAAGGAAUGCUAAUGAUGUUAGUAAUUGAAAGAAAACAUUUCAAAAUUUCAAGAAUUUAAACAAAAGGGUCGCGGCACCCGUGUGGGUGUUCUUCGCGAAAUCACAACGAAAUUCAAUGAUUCUUGGGGUGAAACAUAAAGAGGGAAGGCCUAGAUGUUGAUUGGGAGUGGUACCUUGAUCCAAUUCGUUGGAAAAUUGGACGAAACGGCGAAAACCCGCCGAUUUGGAAGCUUGGGUCGCGCGGGUCAAAGGUGACCCAUUCCUCCUGUUCCCCCGUGCACCACUCUCCCUCCUUUCCCUCCUUUCCUUCCCCUGGUUGAUCAGUUUCUUCCUCUCUCUUCUUCUGAUUCGCUCGCAUCUUCUUCUUCUCCGAUUGGGCAUUUCUGCCCAGUCUCUUCUUCUUUUCUGUUUUCUGUUUCUUCUUCUCAUACACAUACACACACCAAAAACCUUUCCCUCAUCCCAGCCAACCAUUUCAUUCAUCAUUAAAUCUGGGCCGUCCAUUUUCAUAAAAGAAUUUCUAUAUUUUACUAAAAUUAUAAUUCCUUAAAAUCCCAACUUCAAACUUUAAUAACUUCUUCGAUAUAACUCCAAAUCACGAACCGUCUGCGCCCAUGCGUCCGUAACGACGAGUACUACCAGGAUAUGCCAAGGAAACAAAUCUUAGAUGGCACGACAUGGUGAUUAACCUCGAAUAAUGCACGUACCUUCAAAGGGCAUUUUUGUAAAAUCCUUUAUCAAAACUUUAAAAAUUCUUAAAAUUAGGGACGGGCUGUCACAAUCUACCCACCUUAAAGAAAUUUCGUCCUCGAAAUUUACACAAUCUUUACAAUCCAUCAAUAUCCAUGAAACAGCCCGAAACACAUCUCUCUCAUUCGAUUCUCUGAUUUUCAAGUAGUUUCUUCCACUGAAAGAUUCCUCCAUAAAUUUUCACCAAACUCAUAGUCUUAUUUCUCAGUACAUCAUCUUUCUAAUACAAGAUAGGCACUGGCUCAUCAUCAUACGUCAAAUCCAGAUUGACUUCCAAAGGUUGAGGAGGUAUCACUCGUGAAGGAUAUGAGGUUUAAUGUCGAAGUAUCGAAACAUAAAACAUAUCGUGCCCUUUCGUUGACUCUGGAGGCAACUCAGCCUGAACGUAACUUCACUGACUCGUUCGAUGAUCACAUAUGGUCUGAUGUAUCUAGGACUUGCUUGCUUUUCUUUUUAAAACGAAUCAUACUUUUCCAAGGUGAUAAUUACUUGAAUAUUCCAAAUAGUCUCAUCUACUAACUCAGGGCCUCGAAUACUAACCGUCCCCAAUUCUAAUAAUUUCGAAACACAAGACAUAGCUUUCCACGGCCUUAUGGCGUUACUCUAGGGAACAAACUGAAGGGACCACAUACCCAAGAAGUUUAUCAGAUCCCAAAUCUCUUUUUCCAUCAAACAAAUAAAUAACUGUUGCGCUUGUCUGGAAAGGUUGAUGUUCUCAUACUGAAGUAACAUACGCUGACGUCACCAGUCGAUCAAUUAUUAUUCAAAUUCCAACCUAACUAUUUGGUAUACGAGGAAGCUUGUCCAUGAAAUCCAUAGUAAUAUUCUCUCAUUUCCGCCGUGGAAUGGGAAAUGACUACAUUAUUCCAAAAGACUUAUUUCUUUCUGCUUUAACCUGAUGACUGAUGAUACGCUUACUAACAUACUUCGCCAUUUCUCUUUUCAUACUCGGUAAAUAGUAAAAUGUUCGAAUGAUAAGAUACGUUUUAAUACCUUCAUGACGCCUUGCAUAAGCUGCACCGUACGCUUCGUCCAUAACUGGUUUCUUUAAUUCCAUAACAUUAGGUAUAAACACCUUGUUCUCUUGCAUAAGCUUGCCAUCUGAUUCUCUAACUCUAAGGUCUUUCUUUUUCCCGUUAUUCCUUGCAUUAAAUAAAUUCUUGAAUUUCUUCGUCAAACGCUUGAGUCUCGAGUACGAUCUACCAAAUGGGUCCAACUUGGAAAUUAGCAAGGCUUCUUCUCGAUUUUCGAUACCAACUUUACUCCAGUAGAUUUCAAAUCCACAAGAAGAUGAACAUAGCAAGCGUACCAAGCAUUAAUUCUCACUGGGGUCUUCCUACUAAAUGCAUCAGCCACAAUAUUAGCUCGACCACCCUAGUCGCACAAUCAUAAUCACUAAGCAACUCAAUCCACCUUUGUUGCCUAAGAUUAAUAUCUCUCCGCGUAAACAUAUAUUGGAGACUCUUAGGAUUCAUUAAAAUCUUGCAUUUCUCACCAAUAAUAUAAUGUCUCCAUAACUUCAAAGUAAGAAUGAUAGCCGCCAAUUCCAAUUCACAAGUAGGGUAAUUCGUCUCAUGAGAUCUCAAUGGCCAUAAAGCAUAAACAAUCAUCCUACCAUGUUGCAUCAACACGCAUCCAAGAACAUUCAACGUAGCAUCACUAUAAACCUUAUAAUUACCGCUAUAAUCUGGAAGCGUUAAAACAGGCGUGAAGUGAGAUAAUACUUCAGCUGCUGAAACCUUGCUCACAAUUUCAUCCACUCAAACCUAACCUUUUUUUCUCAUCAAUCUCGCCAAAAGCCAAGCAUUGAUUAAAAUCUUGGACGAACUAUCGAUAAUAUCCUGCUAAUCCGAGAAAACUCUGAACCUCAGUCACGGUUCGCAAUUGUUCCAAAUUCUCAAUCGUUGCUACUCUUUUAAGAAUCCACUUGAAUACCUUAAGUAGAUAUAAUUAAUUUAUCCAACAUUAGCAUUUGUUAAACUUAGCAUACAUCAACAUUCCCUCAAUCUUUGCAACACCAAUUUAAAAUAUCUAGCAUGCUCCGUUCUAUUCUUAUGAAUCUCGUCAAUGGCAAACAAUAACAACCCGGUCUAGAUAUCACUGGAAUACUUCCUUCAGCAAACUCAUAAAAAUAGUAGGUGCAUUCGUCACUCCGAAUGGCAUCCCAACUUGAAAUGACCAUAACGAGUCCUGGAUUCAGUCUUAUGAACAUCCUCACUGCUAAUCUUCAACUAAUAUUAUUCAGACCUCUAGUCAAUCUCAUAAAGUACCCAGGCGCCUUAGAGCUGAUCAAAUAAUCAUCAAUACACAACAAUGGAUAACGGCUCUCAAUCGUUAUCCGAUUCAAUUACCUAAUAUCAAUGCCUAGCCUUAAUGUCCACUUUCUUCCUCACAAAUAAACCGGAGCUUUUCCAAUAUGAUGAAUUAAGUUGAAUGGAACUUUUAACUCAACUUGAACCAAUCUCUAACAUAAGAUUUGCACCUAGAGACAAUUCAAUAGUGAAACCCACAUCUCUGCCUGGCGGCAAUCUAGGUAAGUCAUCUGGGAAUACACCAGGAAAAUGUCUAACCAUCUUUACAUCUUCCAUACUAUUAGGAUCAACAUCAUUUAGCACCAUAUGAACUAAAUAUCUUAGCAGCCUUUUGAUAACAAUCUUCUUUGCUCUCUCAACAGGAAUAAUGGCAUGACUCACUCCACUUUGCUUACCCCCAAGAGUAAUCUCUAGUCAUCUAGGUCGACAAAAAUUAACUGAUUCUCCAUAGCAAUCUAGCUUGGCACAUUUAUACUGCACCCACUUGUGCCAAAAAAUCACCUCAAAAUCCAUAAUAUCCAACGGAAUAAAAUUCACUGACAUGACAUUUUUCACCAUCACUGGACACCCUGAAUAAACCAAAUCAACAUAAAGUGCCUUACUUGUUUACUUACUUAACGAAUCCAACAAAUAAGUUAUAAAUAUUACGGUCUGCAGCCCGCAAUACAAAUAACUCACUGUUGUCUCGAUAAGUAAGUAACAAUUCCUGAAGGGUGUAAUAUUAUCAUCUUGUUCUUCCUUAGAAAUACAUAAAUACGCCUCAAUCGUGCUCCAACAUUACUUUCUUUGGCAACAUCGACCAUAAUAAGAAAUAUAUCAGCCGGAGUUAGCUAGAAUGACAUGUACGGCUGAGUCUACAACUCGACCAUCCAUGCUAGCACAUAAGUCGGAGUCACAUAUAGUGACCUGUACGACUUACUCGUCAAUUUUUCCAAGUGAUAUGUUAAGGAAGACUGUUGGGUAACAACUGAUUCCAGGGACAAUUCAUACCUCUAUGUCCCAUCCGUCCACAUGAACACAUUCACUGAUUCCCACACUCUCCAAAGUGUCUAAUAUUAUACCUAUGGCACAAAGGUACAUUUCCCUUACUCGAGUCACCUUGUCUUUAAGAUCUGGGAUCACCCGUAAAUUUAUCACUUCGCCUCGAACCAGUGGCACUAAAACCUCAGCUGGGAAAAUUAGCUCUAAUUUCACUUCCUUUGAAGCUCUGAGUCCUUCGACGUCCUUGAUAUGACGAAUCUUUAACUUUAUCGUCUUAUUCUUAUUCUCAUUCCUUUCUUAUUCCUCUUUACUCUCGCCGAUCAUAUUCUCAAAGUCCUCAAAGCCCAACAACAUCUCGUAAACUCCUGGUAAAAAGUACAAUGGAUUGUGGUCGUCAAAGAACGCCAAUUCUUCUUAUUAUCCAGCCAAAAACGACAGAACACCUUGACCGGAUUAGCAACAACAUCUGAAUGGAAACAAGGCAAGUCUGUAUUCAAAUUUAACUUAUAUCCAGUUUCAAAAGUUCCUUUAGAUAAUAGACUGAAUCAUAGUGACAAUAAUUUCCCCAAAACUACUAUAUCAGGGAAAUUAGGCUUAUUCGAACUACGUGGCUCGCUACGAGGCGGUAUAGUUCUGACAGAAGACACUAGGAAAUUCUCAAGAUGUCCAGAAUUGCAACCUAGGCUCUGAUACCAACUGACACACCCCGUCCCGAAGGAGGGCGUGCUGGCCGUCACGUGAGAGUGACGUAACCAUUUACACAGUUCGGAAGCUUUAAAGAAUACAAUUACUAAGAUAACACACCCGAGGGUGAGUCAUACUUUUGUGAAUUCUGUUAGAACACCGUUGGAUUCCUCGUGGCCACCAAAGCUCUGCCAUCUAGGACCUGGAGGGGCGCAAAACAAAAUUGAGUGGGUCAGUAAAACAAAGUUUUUCGAAAACAUUUCAUUUAAAACAUUUCUAACCCCUCACCGUAAAACCUGUAUACUUUCCCAGAAAAAAAAAAUAUAUAUAUAAAACCAUAUGAAAUCUCAAAACUUAAAUCCCAAAUCUUUAACAUUUUUCAAGAAAAAUAUGCCAUGCCAUAAAUCAAAAUAUAAAUCAGGUGAAAUAAGGAAUCAAUCGGAGACCCUGCAGUUGGUCCUAUACGAUUAAUUCAAUAGCUCAAUAUCCCACUAAGCCGGAGUCACCACAGUGACCUAUACGGCCCUACUCUGCACAUCACUCGGAACUACGUAAGGUAGUCUAUACGAUGAAAGGUGUAAAAAUACGCUCUAGUGCUUCUCUCAUCAAUCAUCAGCGCGCAUAACUAAGGUCACCCACUAGUCGGAAUCACGCCUAGUGAUCUGUACGACUAGCAUGUCGGAACCCUCACAUGGUCUGUACGACAUCCACCUACUUGGAUCCAAGGCGAGCGUGCGGUGUGGUGAAUAAUAUAAGCACUAACACCUAGGGUGCAAGUUAUGAGCUCAAAACAUCUCAACAACAAACAAUUCAAUGAAUAAAUGAACUCACCUGACUUACCUGUGCCUCCACAGCACCAUGCAACAUGUAUGCAUCAUAUAUCAAUUCAUUCUUUUCAUAAACUUCUAUGCUUGGCAUUUCAAUUCAUACUUUUCAUAAACUUCUAUGCAUGGCAUUUAAAAACAUUUUCUCAUAUAAAUGCAUUUCUGGGAAAACAAUAGUAUAUAGGUAAUACGAAAACAAAACUGCCCACUCACCUGGAGUUCGCCCAACAACUUCCUAGCACCGUACAUCAAGGCGUCAUGAAGAUUAGCGCCUAGAACAAUAAUUAAAUCCAACCUCAGAAAUCAUGCCGAUAGAAUACAUAACUUAUAUAAGACACGUCUCUACGUAGUUCGAUCCGGAUGAUCUGCAACUCAGAUUUCAAAUCCGUAACUUCCAGAGGUCCACAAUAUACCUCUAGGACAACAUCCUAAAAUUUCAUUACCAUCCAACGGUCGGAUCUCCGUCAAUUUCCAAAACUAAGUGACGGUUAACAUUCUAUUUUAUGAACUUACAACUUCAAUUCCGGAAGAUCCGUAAAUUGGAUUCCCAAUCCGUAAGUUCCUAUAAUCCUCAAAUAUUACGUAUUACAACGUAUCAAAGUUUGAUGACGAUCCAACGGUCGGAUCGUCAAUUCACAUUUUCACCUAACCAUGAAUCGUAACCAACUUAGGUUCAAUUAUUCAAUUUACGUCCAUCAAUUAUCAAAACUGAACCUAGAACCUUAAUCACAUGCUAAUAAUGACAUUGGCGGGCCAUUGGCCACGCACCGCCGCGCGGGCCGCCGCGGGUGGCGGUUGGCCGCCCCGGCUCGCCGGAAAAUUCAACUAUUUCCAAAAAUUACCAAAAUUUGCAGAUUUGAAGAUCUCAAUGAGUAGAACAACUUUCAUACCUGUGGACAAGGCCAAUUGGGCCUGGAAGUGCUUCAAUUUCACCAAAACCGUGAAGAACCCUAGAAUUUGGUGUUUCCAAUUCGACCUUCAAACUUGUUCCAACGCCUCUACUACCUCUUGGGCUUUGUUCUAGGUCCUAAAGGAAUGCUAAUGAUGUUAGUAAUUGAAAGAAAACAUUUCAAAAUUUCAAGAAUUUAAACAAAAGGGUCGCGGCACCCGUGUGGGUGUUCUUCGCGAAAUCACAACGAAAUUCAAUGAUUCUUGGGGUGAAACAUAAAGAGGGAAGGCCUAGAUGUUGAUUGGGAGUGGUACCUUGAUCCAAUUCGUUGGAAAAUUGGACGAAACGGCGAAAACCCGCCGAUUUGGAAGCUUGGGUCGCGCGGGUCAAAGGUGACCCAUUCCUCCUGUUCCCCCGUGCACCACUCUCCCUCCUUUC
rnacentral:lncRNA from 1 species